AUUGAACGCUGGCGGCAGGCCUAACACAUGCAAGUCGAGCGGUAACACAGGGAGCUUGCUCCCGGGUGACGAGCGGCGGACGGGUGAGUAAUGUCUGGGAAACUGCCUGAUGGAGGGGGAUAACUACUGGAAACGGUAGCUAAUACCGCAUAACGUCGCAAGACCAAAGAGGGGGACCUUCGGGCCUCUUGCCAUCAGAUGUGCCCAGAUGGGAUUAGCUAGUAGGUGGGGUAACGGCUCACCUAGGCGACGAUCCCUAGCUGGUCUGAGGGGAUGACCGGCCACACUGAAACUGGGACACGGUCCAGGCUCCGACGGGAGGCGGCGUGGGGGAUUAUUGCACAAGGGGCCCAAGCCUGAUGCAGCCAUGCCGCGUGUAUGAGGAAGGCCUUCGGUUUUUAAAUUACUUUCGGCGGGGAGGAAGGCGAUAAGGUAAUAACCUUGUCGAUUGACGUUACCCGCAGAAGAAGCACCGGCUAACUCCGUGCCAGCCGCCGCGGUAAGAC
rnacentral:rRNA from 1 species